CUAUACUGCAAGUCGAGCGAAUGGGAUUAAGAGCUUGCUCUUAUGAAGUUAGCGGCGGACGGGUGAGUAACACGUGGGUAACCUGCCCAUAAGACUGGGAUAACUCCGGGAAACCGGGGCUAAUACCGGAUAACAUUUUGAACCGCAUGGUUCGAAAUUGAAAGGCGGCUUCGGCUGUCACUUAUGGAUGGACCCGCGUCGCAUUAGCUAGUUGGUGAGGUAACGGCUCACCAAGGCAACGAUGCGUAGCCGACCUGAGAGGGUGAUCGGCCACACUGGGACUGAGACACGGCCCAGACUCCUACGGGAGGCAGCAGUAGGGAAUCUUCCGCAAUGGACGAAAGUCUGACGGAGCAACGCCGCGUGAGUGAUGAAGGCUUUCGGGUCGUAAAACUCUGUUGUUAGGGAAGAACAAGUGCUAGUUGAAUAAGCUGGCACCUUGACGGUACCUAACCAGAAAGCCACGGCUAACUACGUGCC
rnacentral:rRNA from 1 species